rnacentral:rRNA from 1 species
AUUGAACGCUGGCGGCAUGCCUUACACAUGCAAGUCGAACGGCAGCACGGGAGCAAUCCUGGUGGCGAGUGGCGAACGGGUGAGUAAUAUAUCGGAACGUGCCCAGUAGUGGGGGAUAACUGCUCGAAAGAGCAGCUAAUACCGCAUACGACCUGAGGGUGAAAGGGGGGGAUCGCAAGACCUCUCGCUAUUGGAGCGGCCGAUAUCAGAUUAGCUAGUUGGUGGGGUAAAGGCCUACCAAGGCAACGAUCUGUAGUUGGUCUGAGAGGACGACCAGGCACACUGGGACUGAGACACGGCCCAGAAGCAGACGGGAGGCAGCAGUGGGGAAUUGUGGACAAUGGGCGCAAGCCUGAUUCAGCAAUGCCGCGUGCAGGAAGAAGGCCUUCGGGUUGUAAACUGCUUUUGUCAGGGAAGAAAUCCUCUAGGUUAAUACCCUUGGGGGGAUGACGGUACCUGAAGAAUAAGCACCGGCUAACUACGUGCCAGCCGCCGCAGUAACAC